GGGCCGGUGCGCGAUCGUUCCCGUUCUUGGAGGCGAUGGGUCACACCGAGCCCGGGCCGAGGGGAGGCAGGAGCGCGGACCUCGCCCUCCCCUCGCACCCAUCCCGUCGCGGGUGGGUUUUCUGCCCCCAGCCCGCGUCCCCGCUCGCCUCGGUGCGAGGGCAGAGCGAUGUGAAUUUAGCAUUUUUUGUUCAAUUUGGCUUCCAAGCCGGGACCCAUCGGGCGGCACGGCACGAUUGCAGCGCAUUGUCCCCCGACACCUCUGACACACCACAGACGUGCCGCGCUAAUGGGCACCCUGCCCAGCCUGGUGAUGGUGGGCAAAUAUAUUUAUCCUCAAAUACUGUUAUUAAUUUCGUACAAUUUCUCGUUUAAAAAUAAUUUCAAUUUUUAUUCUAAUAAUCACAUCCAGUGGACUGCACGCAGUAUUUCUCAGCAAUUACUUUCAUUUGUUAAACACUUAUUUACACAUUUUCAUUUUGCAUCUGCAUUUCCCAAGCCCCUUCAGUUUUAUUUAACAUUCCCUCUGCCUUUUCAUUGUCUUUUCGCGUGGUAGAAAAUGCUUCUAAAACUUUCCUGACUCUAAAUGCCCUUUGCCUCUGAAACGGAACCUUUUAGCAUCUUCACUUUAUGGUGCACUCUAUUUCAUUUCUUGAUUCUUUCAACUUUUUAACUGUAAAUUUUAGCAAGCUGGUUUUAGAUCCGUGCUCCAAUACUGUGCUUCCUUCCAUUUAUUAUGGAGUGACAGAUAUGCCUGCCUUGCUCUUUACUGGCUUCUAAAAUGGGAAAAUAACCAAAACAUAAAUCUGAAACAAUUAGGAGAGGAAACUAUUUUAAAAUAUCAUUGUUUCCAUGUCUGACAUCUCAUUCCCAGGCAUCACCAUGAGAGUGGAUAUGGUUCUGGGCAUCUCCAUGGACCCGCAGGGAUCAGGGGACUGUAAUCACUGCCACUGCUCUGCCAGCCAUAAGGGUAGGAGCCUCAAAUAACAGGAAUAUGAAUGGAUCCACGAGAGGGGGAAAGGGGUGGGAAGCAUAGGCAUGAAACUCUGCAAGCCGUGAAUUGAGAAAGCUGUCACAGAAAUGAAAGUACCCCAGGAAGGGAUAAAGUGAGAAAUACGCAUUUCUUCUUCUUCUUCUCUUCUUCUUUGUGCACCUUGUAGCAGAGCAACAACUGUCUUCUUGCUGAGGCAAUUAGGGAAAAAGCAGAGAUAAACAGGAGCAGGACAUAAGGAAAACCAAAGGCAGGAGCCAGCAUUACAAAGCAAUUGGAGGACGGCAUAAAAGAGGCCAUAUGUGCUGGCAAUCACAGAGGAUAAGGGGGAACACCUGUUUUUCCAUCAAUUACAGCCUGCAAGCUCACGGGGCAUAUUUAUUCUGGGGGCAUUACAUUUGCUUGGGUAAUAGCGCAUGACACAUUUCCAGUUUUACAGCAGACAAGCCCUGAGAAGGAGCUAAUCGUGUCUGUACAAAUGAAACACAAACAUGCCCUCCUGGCCGUACACGUGGUUAAACAGGGGCCCUAAUGACACCAGGAGCCACCCGGGGCCAGCAGGAAGCAGUUGGGGCACAACCACCCGUUUGUGGCCACCUGGAUGGCUCUGUUUGCUGAAGCCAACCCAAGCAAAAAGCCCUGGGAAAAUGCAGAGGUGGGACUGUAGGAGAGGUGGAUGCCCGCGGGGAAAUGGUGAUAAUCUCUCUAUUUGGUAAGGACAAAGUCCAACUCAAGUGUCUUACUGAUGGCAAUAGAAAGAGGUAUUAUUGGGGUUUGUAUUUUGGUGUUUUUUUUUUUUUUUUUUUUUAAUCCUCAUAGAAGAA